rnacentral:rRNA from 3 species
AAAUUGAAGAGUUUGAUCAUGGCUCAGAUUGAACGCUGGCGGCAGGCCUAACACAUGCAAGUCGAACGGUAACAGGAAGCAGCUUGCUGCUUUGCUGACGAGUGGCGGACGGGUGAGUAAUGUCUGGGAAACUGCCCGAUGGAGGGGGAUAACUACUGGAAACGGUGGCUAAUACCGCAUAACGUCGCAAGACCAAAGAGGGGGACCUUCGGGCCUCUUGCCAUCAGAUGUGCCCAGAUGGGAUUAGCUUGUUGGUGAGGUAACGGCUCACCAAGGCGACGAUCCCUAGCUGGUCUGAGAGGAUGACCAGCCACACUGGAACUGAGACACGGUCCAGACUCCUACGGGAGGCAGCAGUGGGGAAUAUUGCACAAUGGGCGCAAGCCUGAUGCAGCCAUGCCGCGUGUAUGAAGAAGGCCUUCGGGUUGUAAAGUACUUUCAGCGGGGAGGAAGGUGUUGUGGUUAAUAACCGCAGCAAUUGACGUUACCCGCAGAAGAAGCACCGGCUAACUCCGUGCCAGCAGCCGCGGUAAUACGGAGGGUGCAAGCGUUAAUCGGAAUUACUGGGCGUAAAGCGCACGCAGGCGGUCUGUCAAGUCGGAUGUGAAAUCCCCGGGCUCAACCUGGGAACUGCAUUCGAAACUGGCAGGCUUGAGUCUUGUAGAGGGGGGUAGAAUUCCAGGUGUAGCGGUGAAAUGCGUAGAGAUCUGGAGGAAUACCGGUGGCGAAGGCGGCCCCCUGGACAAAGACUGACGCUCAGGUGCGAAAGCGUGGGGAGCAAACAGGAUUAGAUACCCUGGUAGUCCACGCCGUAAACGAUGUCUACUUGGAGGUUGUGCCCUUGAGGCGUGGCUUCCGGAGCUAACGCGUUAAGUAGACCGCCUGGGGAGUACGGCCGCAAGGUUAAAACUCAAAUGAAUUGACGGGGGCCCGCACAAGCGGUGGAGCAUGUGGUUUAAUUCGAUGCAACGCGAAGAACCUUACCUGGUCUUGACAUCCACGGAAGUUUUCAGAGAUGAGAAUGUGCCUUCGGGAACCGUGAGACAGGUGCUGCAUGGCUGUCGUCAGCUCGUGUUGUGAAAUGUUGGGUUAAGUCCCGCAACGAGCGCAACCCUUAUCCUUUGUUGCCAGCGGUCCGGCCGGGAACUCAAAGGAGACUGCCAGUGAUAAACUGGAGGAAGGUGGGGAUGACGUCAAGUCAUCAUGGCCCUUACGACCAGGGCUACACACGUGCUACAAUGGCGCAUACAAAGAGAAGCGACCUCGCGAGAGCAAGCGGACCUCAUAAAGUGCGUCGUAGUCCGGAUUGGAGUCUGCAACUCGACUCCAUGAAGUCGGAAUCGCUAGUAAUCGUGGAUCAGAAUGCCACGGUGAAUACGUUCCCGGGCCUUGUACACACCGCCCGUCACACCAUGGGAGUGGGUUGCAAAAGAAGUAGGUAGCUUAACCUUCGGGAGGGCGCUUACCACUUUGUGAUUCAUGACUGGGGUGAAGUCGUAACAAGGUAACCGUAGGGGAACCUGCGGUUGGAUCACCUCCUUA